GACGAACGCUGGCGGCGUGCCUAAUACAUGCAAGUCGAGCGAACAGAAAAGGAGCUUGCUCCUUUGACGUUAGCGGCGGACGGGUGAGUAACACGUGGGCAACCUACCCUAUAGUUUGGGAUAACUCCGGGAAACCGGGGCUAAUACCGAAUAAUCUCUUUGCUUCAUGGUAAAAGACUGAAAGACGGUUUCGGCUGUCGCUAUAGGAUGGGCCCGCGGCGCAUUAGCUAGUUGGUGAGGUAACGGCUCACCAAGGCGACGAUGCGUAGCCGACCUGAGAGGGUGAUCGGCCACACUGGGACUGAGACACGGCCCAGACUCCUACGGGAGGCAGCAGUAGGGAAUCUUCCACAAUGGGCGAAAGCCUGAUGGAGCAACGCCGCGUGAGUGAAGAAGGUUUUCGGAUCGUAAAACUCUGUUGUAAGGGAAGAACAAGUACAGUAGUAACUGGCUGUACCUUGAUCGGUACCUUAUUAGAAAGCC
rnacentral:rRNA from 1 species